UGUACCUCUGGAAAUCAGAUAAUCCUUCUCCCCUUGGGUUUGCUUUUUGAUUGUUAAAGGGUGCCUCUGUGGUGAAGACCAGCCUGAGGGAAAAACUUCUCAGUUCUCUUAGGUCUUUUCUGAGCCUGUCACUGCCCUGGCCAUGUGCUGUGGCUUUCUAAAUUUUCCCUUAUAUAUGGUUGCUCUUGAAUGUCCUAAUCCUUAAAUGCCUGACUCCCAAAAAAGCGAAAACAAAUCCACAGAAACCCACAGGUAUUACUCCUUUAGAUCCCAUGGAAGGUGCUUUAGCCAGUGUGGGCAGAACCAAUGGUGCCCAGUCUCUGUUCGAACUCAGUGAUCCAAAGCAGCAAUCACAACACGGAGCCCUGGUAUUUGGAGAACAAGGUCCUUAGUGCUCAUCCUGGCUCCAGCAAACUGCACCAGGAAUGCGUGCAUGGCUGUCUACCAUGCACUUGGGAACCAGGCAUCCAAAACUGAUGGAAACUAACCAUAACUUACCAGGCAAGCUUCCCCUUAGAAGCUGCAAGUUGUCAAGUAGACUCCCGAGUUCCAAAAUAGUUACUUUGGAUAGUUUCUGCCAUUUUGUGCCAUUUUUGUCUAGGUGGAGAACAAGAUCACUGGGAGGGGACAUCAAGGAACUGAGAGCAGGGCACCAGAAGGAUUAGCUGCAGGAUACUAAGGCUGCCAGAAAUUAUUACAAGAGUCAUACUGGGAAGAGUGACAGCCAGGAACCCAAAGGCCAACAGGGAGGACUGGUGGGUGGCAAGGUUGGAUGAUGAGAUUCCAAGUUUGUGGCUUUUAUGGAGAAGGGGAAAUGGUGUGUGCAGCAGACCAUAUUUUCCAAAAAUGGCCAUAGUAAUACUUCUGGUCUCACAUGAUUUCCUGGGACUCUGUCCUGCUUGGCCAAGAGGAAGCAGCUACUUCAUCUCUGAAUUUGGACUGGUUUUUUUUUUUUUUUUUUGUUUGCCUUGAUGAACAGGAUAUGGCAGAAGAGAUGCUGGAUGCUGUGACUUCGGAGGCUGGGCUAUAAAGAGUAACAUGGCUUCUACCUGGCUCUUUAGCCUUUGGAAAGCUUGUGUUCAGAAUCCAGUUACCAUCCAGUUAUCAGUUAACUAGUCUUCAGGACCAAUGAGAGGCUCACAUGGAGAGACACAAGCCCCAUCUAAGAGCCAGCAUGAGCCAGAUACAGGCGAGAACGAAGACUCGUCUGACUCCAGGUCUUCCAGCCAAGCCCAGACGUGGGAGCCGGGACAGGUGGUGCCUGCCAUGCCUUGCCUGGACUCAACGCCCAGAAUCUAUGAGCACGAUCGAAUGGGUGUUGUGCACCACCACGUGCUGAAGCAACUACAACAGCCUGGAAACAGGCCAAGAAUGUGAGGGGUGUCGGCUCUAUGCACCGAGGAAUGGGGGAAACACCAGCUUUCUGUGAGCAAGAAGGUGCAGGGAACGGUCAAAGAAGGGGUGGGUGAUGGUAGAUUUACGUGGAGUUUCAGGAGUCAGUGAAGGGAGACUGCCGAGCCGUGGCCAUGGUGGCAGCAGGGAGAUGUUUCUGGGGCAGGCUCACCCUUCCCCACAUCCACAUGCUGAAAUGUCUUACAAAUAAUCAGAGAAAUGUGAAAGUAUAUUAGUUAUGAGUAAUAAAUAUAUUUUGCUUUAUUUUCAAUUUGAUAUA
rnacentral:lncRNA from 10 species